AUGGGGAGCUUCUUUAAGAAACACCUGACAGAAGACCCAGGUGGCCAGUGUGUUCCCAUUGGACUAGGAAGUGUACUUCCAGGAAGUGUUCCUAUUUCACCAGGAACUGUAGUAGGGCGUGGAGCAGGAUAUGUACUAUUAGGAAGGACACUUUCAAAAUGGCGUAUGGUAAAACCAGGAAGUGGAUCAACAGUUGGGACAGGGAGGGGACGUGGUCGGCCCCCUAAACACUUCACCAAACGGAGGAGACGAGUAUGGAGCCAGGUCUCCUCGAGUGAUACGACAGAGACGGACGAGACUGAGGAGGAAGAGGAACCAGUCUACACCGUUACCACCCAGUCGUUGGAGCACAGCCCUGGGGGAGGGGGAGAAGAUGGAGAAGGAUGGGCGGAACUACAGGAGUACGACGACGACGUGCCUGAACAAAUACCUCAGAUGUCUCCAUCCUAUAUGCCUGUAAACCCCAGUAGUGGUGUAUCUGGGUCAGAGGAACCCUACCCCAGCAGCUGUGUUCAGGUAAGGACCAACAACGCAUACGAAUGUACAGUUGAAGUCGGAAGUUUUGCAUACACUUAGGUUGGAGUCAUUAAAACUUUUUAACUCCACUAAUUUCUUGUUAAUUAACAAACAAUAGUUUUGGCAAGUCGGUUAUGACAUUUACUUUAUGCAUGACACAAGUCAUUUGUCUAACAAUUGUUUAGAGACAGAUUAUUUCACUUAUAAUUCACUGUAUCACAAUUCCAGUGGGUCAGAAGUUUACAUACACUAAGUUGACUGUGCCUAUAUAAAGCUUGGAAAAUGAUGUCAUGGCUUUAGAAGCUUCUGAUAGGCUAAUUGAGCUCAUUUGAAUCAAUUGGAGGUGUAUCUGUGGAUGUAUUUCAAGGCCUACCUUCAAACUCAGUGCCUCUUUGCUUGACAUCAUGAGAAAAUCAAAAUAAAUCAGCCAAGACCUCAGCAAAAAAAAUGUAGACCGUCACAAGUCUGGUUCAUCCUUGGGAGUAAUUUCAAAACGUCUGAAGGUACCACGUUCAUCUGUACAAACAAUAGUACGCAAGUAUAAACACCAUGGGACCACGCAGCCGUCAUACCGCUCAGGAAGGAGACGCGUUCUGUCUCCUAGAGAUGAACGUACUUGUGCAAAUCAAUCCCAGAACAACAGGCUACCCGAAACGUUUGACCCAAGUUAAACAAUUUAAAGGCAAUGCUACCAAAUACUAAUUGAGUGUAUGUAAACUUCUGACCCACUGGGAAUGUGUUGAAAGAAAUAAAAGCGGAAAUAAAUAAUUUUCUCUACUAUUAUUCUGACAUUUCACAUUCUUAAAAUAAAGUGGUGAUCCUAACUGACCUAAGACGGGGAAUUUGUACUUGGAUUAAAUGUCAGGAAUUGUGAAAAAGUGAGUAAAUGUAUUUGGCGAAGGUGUAUGUAAACGUCCGACUUCAACUGUACGUAUGCAUACAUACUGUGUGUGUACAUACACUGUGCAUUUGAAAAGGAUUUUGACCCCUUGACCUUUCAAACAUUUUGCUAGGCAAAAACGGGUUAAAAAAAACCUGAAAUAUCACAUUUACAUAAGUAUCAAAUCAAAUGUAUGAAGGGCUUUAUAAAUACAUCAGCUGAUAUCUCAAAGUGCUGUACAGAAACCCAGCCUAGAGAGGAACCAGGCUAUGAGGGGUGGCCAGUCCUCUUCUGGCUGUGCCGGGUGGAGAUUAGAAACCUAGAGAGGAACCAGGCUAUGAGGGGUGGCCAGUCCUCUUCUGGCUGUGCCGGGUGGAGAUUAGAAACCUAGAGAGGAACCAGGCUAUGAGGGGUGGCCAGUCCUCUUCUGGUUGUGCCAGGUGGAGAUUAUAACAGAACAAAUAAUAAUAAUCACAGUAGUUGUCGAGGGUGCAGCAAGUCAGCACCUCAGGAGUAAACGUCAGUUGGCUUUUCAUAGCUGAUCAUUCAGAGUAUCUCUACCGCUCCUGCUGUCUCUAGAGAGUUAAAAACAGCAGGUCUGGGACAGGUAGCACGUCCGGUGAACAGGUCAGGAUUCCAUAGCCGCAGGCAGAACAGUUGAAACUGGAGCAGCAGCACAGACAGGUGGACUGGGCACAGCAAGGAGUCAUCAUGCCAGGUAGUCCUGAGGCAUGGUCCUAGGGCUCAGGUCCUCCGAGAGAGAGAAAGAAAGAGAGAAUUAGAGAGAGCAUACUUAAAUUCACACAGGACACCGGAUGAGACAGGAGAAGUACUGCAGAUAUAACAAACUGACCCUAGCCCCCCGACACAUAAACUACUGCAGCAUAAAUACUGGAGGCUGAGACAGGAGGGGUCAGGAGACACUGUGGCCCCAUCCGAUGAUACCCCCGGACAGGGCCAAACAGGAAGGAUAUAACCCCACCCACUUUGCCAAAGCACAGCCCCCACACCACUAGAGGGAUAUCUUCAACCACCAACUUACCAUCUUGAGACAAGGCCGAGUAUAGCCCACAAAGAUCGCCGCCACGGCACAACCCAAGGGGGGGGGGGCGCCAAGUAUUCAGACCCUUUACUCAGUACUUUGUUGAAGCACCUUUGGCAGCGAUUACAGCCUUGAGUCUUCUUGGGUAUGACACUACAAGGUUGGCACACCUACAGUACCAGUCAAACGUUUGGUCACACCUAUCCAUUCCAGGCUUUUUCUUCAUUUUUUAAAAACUAUUUUCUACAUUGUAAAAUAAUACUGAAGACAUUACAACUAUGAAAUAACACAUAUGGAAUCAUGUAGUAACCAAAAAAAAGUGUUAAACAAAUCAAAAAUAUAUUUUGUAUCGGAGAUUCUUCAAGGUAGCCACCCUUUUUGCCUUGACAGCUUUGCACGUAUCCCUAAUUGCUCAUGUGAUUCGCUCUUGAUAAGAGCA
rnacentral:lncRNA from 13 species